UACGGGGGGGGGCAAGCGUUGUUCGGAAUUACUGGGCGUAAAGGGCGCGUAGGCGGCCUUCUAAGUCAGACGUGAAAUCCCCCGGCUUAACCUGGGAACUGCGUCUGAUACUGGAAGGCUUGAAUCCGGGAGAGGGAUGCGGAAUUCCAGGUGUAGCGGUGAAAUGCGUAGAUAUCUGGAGGAACACCGGUGGCGAAGGCGGCAUCCUGGACCGGUAUUGACGCUGAGGCGCGAAAGCCAGGGGAGCAAACGGG
rnacentral:rRNA from 1 species